rnacentral:lncRNA from 1 species
CCUGACUUUGCUGGACAGGGAAAGAAUAACUGUUGGGUCAAACAUGGAAAACUGUUUCACAGAAGAGUGACGCUUGCAGAGACACAAGGCUAAAUAAGCAAAGAGACAUUCAGAAACUCCAAAACAAGUGAUGAGAGACAGCUGCAUGCACCCAUAGUCUUAUGGAGAGAGUUCACCGUUUUCUGCUAGAUGUACAGCUGGAGGGUAGAAAUGAAAUCUUUCCGAAAAGU